UACAACAUAGACUCUCAAGAAAUUAAAUUACAACUAAAAUUUAAGGUCUUCCAAGGAAAUUGAGGGAGACUAUGGGGGUAAUUAGGUAAUUCUAAAAUAUUUCGGGUGGGUGUAUGAGUUUCGGGUGUGGGUUUGACUGAUACCAAACCCACACCCAUAUUAUCGGGUGUCACCCGAACCCAAACCCAAACCCAAUCAAAUCGGCUUUCGCCCGUUGACUUGAGUUUAGGUUCGGGUGGGUCUCUC
rnacentral:lncRNA from 1 species